AUUGAACGCUGGCGGCAGGCCUAACACAUGCAAGUCGAACGAGUGGCGGACGGGUGAGUAAUGUCUGGGAAACUGCCUGAUGGAGGGGGAUAACUACUGGAAACGGUGGCUAAUACCGCAUACUAUCGGAUGUACCCAUAUGGGAUUAGCUAGUUGGUGGGGUAAAGGCUCACCAAGGCGACGCUCCCUAGCUGGUCUGAGAGGAUGAUCAGCCACACUGGAACUGAGACACGGUCCAGACUCCUACGGGAGGCAGCAGUGGGGAAUAUUGCACAAUGGGCGCAAGCCUGAUGCAGCCAUGCCGCGUGUAUGAAGAAGGCCUUCGGGUUGUAAAGUACUUUCAGCGGGGAGGCGUUACCCGCAGAAGAAGCACCGGCUAACUCCGUGCCAGCAGCCGCGGUAAUAC
rnacentral:rRNA from 1 species